CCAAAAUGUAUAUUCUUGCAAAAAAUAAAAAAUAAAAAAACUUACGUACGUACGUAAGUCCAGCGUAAGUCCUGCGCGAGGCGUCAUUUAGCCCAAAGAUUCGAUUGUUGUUUUUAUUCAGUUUUUCUGAACCCGAGCGGAGCGGCAGCUUUUCACCGAGGAGGACUCCAUCUUUCAGCGACUAAAACCACUUUAUUGUUCUAUAUACACUGUUUAAUUAUCUGUAUUGUCUUAUAAUUAUAAUAUAAUUUACCUGUUAUCUGUGUUGUAUUGUUACUAACUCUUUUUAUUUCUUUUUCAGGUUAAAAAGCCGGUGUGGGCUCGACCCCCCCACGGUCUGGUAUGGGCUGGCGGCGUUUUUUCGGGGUUUACACCCUAGAGGUUAGUAGAAAUUUCUCUAUUUUUUAGACCAAAUUUACCAUCAGAAAUAUUUAAUAUAACACUAGAACAAGCUAGAUCUGGAGCACCAUUAACUGUAUGUAUCUGUAUCUGUUUGUUUUGCAGGCGGAGUGCGAUGUUCCUGAAGAUUCUUCUUGUUGCACUUCGCCUUUUAAUCCUGUGAAUGUCAUGGACUCUGAUGUGGAGGACGAUGGAAGGCAGGCCUGUGAUGGAGAGGUGUUGGAGCCAGCUUCCGAACUACAGGUCAGAGUUAAAGCAACGUACAUAUAUAUAUAUUUUGCUGAUAUAACACUGAAAAUAUUCCCCCACUGUGGGACUAAUAAAGGAUUUUUUUUCUGUUCUCUCGGACAGUGCCAGGAAGCACAUACAGCAGACCUCGCCCCCACACUCCACCAAGAGCCAUCAUCCAUCCAGGGAGACACAAGAGUUCACUCUUUAAAAAUGAGAGGAUGGCUUCAGUUCUUCUGCUGCUGCUUCCCUGUGAGGAGGACGAGGAGGGUUGCAGACAGCAGCAGAGCAUGAGCAUGAGCAAAAUAGAUACAUACAGUACACACAUACAUACACACAUUAAAACACACAUAUAUAUACAUGCAUACACAUUUACACACAUAUAUAAACCUACAUAGAUGCAUACAUAUAUAUUUAUAUAGUUCAGUGUAUAUAUAUUUUAAUAUAAUUCAUUGUGAAUAUGUAUAUGAUAUAUAAAUUGACAUUUAUUUAUAUAUUAUUAUUUUCAUUGCUAUAUUAUUAUUAUUAUUAUUAUCAUUAUUAUUAUUAUUAUUAUUAACAUAUUUGUAAUAUAUUAAUGUUGUAAUAAUAAUAUUUUUUCCUCACCCUUUUUCCACUAAUCCUGGGAUGGAGAGGUGUUGGAGCCAGCUCCCGAACUACAGGUCAGAGUUAAAGCUACACACAUUUUUUUUUGCGUAUAUAACACUAAUAAUGUUCCCCCACUGUGGGACUAAUAACCUGUUUUUUUUUUCUGUUUUCUUGGACAGUGCCAGGAAGCAUGGACAACAGACCUCGCCCCCACACUCCACUAAGAGCAUUACACAUUAACACACAUAUAUAAACCUACAUAGAUGCAUGCAUAUAUAUAUAUAUAUAUAUAUUUAUAUAGUUCAGUGUAUAUAUAUAUAUAUAUAUUUAUUUAUAUAAUUCAUUGUAUAUACGUAUAUGAUAUAUAAUUGUAUUAUUAUUAUUAUUAUUAUUAUUAUUAUUAUUAAUAACAUAUUUAUAUUAUAAUAUAUUUUUCUAUUGUUUUCAUUUAUUCCUCUUUUCCUCCUUCCUUUUUUCACUAAUCCUGGGAUGGAGAGGUGUUGGAGCCAGCUCCCGAACUACAGGUCAGAAUAAAGAAACACACAUUUUGUUUUGCUGAUAUAAC
rnacentral:lncRNA from 1 species